GGCGUGGUUGGUCCUGGUGGUUGUGGUCAUGUUGACCGUCCUCACCACGGUCCUGGGUCUGAUCUACUGGAGGACUCGCUGCUGUCGAAAGGAGCCCAGAGUGUAUCCAGCCAGUGUGUUCCAGACCAGAGGAUUCAACACGGACCUCCCUGAUGUCUCUGUUUCACUAAAUCACUCCUCAGGUACCUCUCUCUCCCCCCUCCCAGAGGAGCCCAGUGUGUUCCAGACCAGAGGAUUCAACACGGACCUCCCUGAUGUCUCUGUUUCACUAAAUCACUCCUCAGGCCUGUUGUCACCUAUUCAUGAAGAGAAGACUGCAG